rnacentral:sRNA from 1 species
GCCGGGCGUGGUGGCGGGCGCCUGUAGUCCCAGCCACUCGGGAGGCUGAGGCAGGAGAAUGGUGUGAACCUGGGAAGUGGAGUCUGCAGUGAGCCAAGAUCGCGCCACUGCACUCCAGCCUGGGUGACAGAGCAAAACUCCGUUUUAAUUAUUAUUUUUUGAGAUGGAGUCUCGCUCUGUCACCCAGGCUGGAGUGCAGUAGCACGAUCUUGGCUCACUGCAAGCUCCGCCUCCCAGUUCAAGUGAUUCUCCUGUCUCAG